GGCAAUUUACUCUUAUUUAUAAUACAACCCAUAUGUGGAAAGAAAGUAAAAGGACGAAGAGGAUUAGUUCUAACUUUUUCUAUGCAGAAGUUGUUGAAUGCAACAAGUGCCCCCUCUUUGGUGUCAAAUCCACAAUAACCAGAAUUAGGAGUUCCACACACAUUUUUCUUGCACCCAGGCCAUGUCGAAUUCAAGCCAUGAUUUCUUCCUUUGAAGACGACGUGAUUCAGAUAGAGAAAGGAAUCCAGAGGAUAGAGGAAUUCUCAAAUCCGCAUAAUGAUUUCGUUCAUUAAUGUAGGUAAUAUACUGACUCCAUUUAGUACAAUAGUAACAAAUUCGUACUACUAACAUAUUUAGAGCCCCCUCUGCUUAAGAUAAUUAAAUGAAAAGACCCUUUAAAUUGCAA